rnacentral:SRP_RNA from 1 species
GGAUUGCUUGAGCCCAGGAGUUCUGGGCUGUCAUGCACUGUGACCAUGAGGUGUCCACACUAAGUUCCACAUCAAUACAGUGACCUCCUGGGAGUGAGGGACCAACAGGUUGUCUAAGGAGGAGUGAAGCAGCCCAGGUCAGAAAUGGAGCAGGUCAAAACUUUCAUGCUGAUCAGUAGAGGAACUGUACCUGUGAAUAGCCACACUGCAGCCUGGGCAACAUAGCAAGA